GAGGGUAAAGCUCAGUGAUAGAGUGUGUGCUUAGCAUGCAAAAAGUCCUGGGUUCAAUCCCCAGUACCUCCA
rnacentral:tRNA from 1 species